GAUGAACGCUGGCGGCGUGCCUAAUACAUGCCAGUCGAGCGAACGGACGAGAAGCUUGCUUCUCUGAUGUUAACGGCGGACGGGUGAGUAACACGUGGAUAACCUACCUAUAAGACUGGGAUAACUUCGGGAAACCGGAGCUAAUACCGGAUAAUAUUUUGAACCGCAUGGUUCAAAAGUGAAAGACGGUCUUGCUGUCACUUAUAGAUGGAUCCGCGCUGCAUUAGCUAGUUGGUAAGGUAACGGCUUACCAAGGCAACGAUGCAUAGCCGACCUGAGAGGGUGAUCGGCCACACUGGAACUGAGACACGGUCCAGACUCCUACGGGAGGCAGCAGUAGGGAAUCUUCCGCAAUGGGCGAAAGCCUGACGGAGCAACGCCGCGUGAGUGAUGAAGGUCUUCGGAUCGUAAAACUCUGUUAUUAGGGAAGAACAUAUGUGUAAGUAACUGUGCACAUCUUGACGGUACCUAAUCAGAAAGCCACGGCUAACUACGUG
rnacentral:rRNA from 1 species